rnacentral:tRNA from 1 species
GGGGCUGAGCUCAAGCCGCUGCGCUCCGGCGAAGCGCUGGCCUGGAAAGCCGAGCCGCUGGUUUGAACGAGCUGGCGCAGGCUGUCGAUUGGCAGCAGCCCUGGCUGGCCCCG